CCUCGGCCACCCCGGAAGGGAACCGGCUCUCAAGGGCGAUCUGGGCUCGUGGGCACGGCGGGGCCACCUCUAGGCGGCACCUGGAAGGGCUGGCCCCGCGGCAGCAGAGGCUUUGCUCAGGCCUGCCGGGCUCCUAAGUUGCGCGCGGUGCGGGUGUGCUGCUCUGUUAGUGAAAAUGGUGCUUCUUCGGAAGGCAACCCCUUCCCGUCACUGAUGUGGUGCUGAACAGAUACCCAUGGGGCACAUUGUGCAGUGAUCUCUUACGGAAGCCCUGUGCUGUGCCCCUUCCUAUGAUUUUCUUUUGAGGACUGUGUCUUUUUUCAUUUUUGAAUGAGUGAAAUACUGGACCUGAAAUGACGCCUUCUUUGGAUGACCUUGACUCUUGCUCGCUAAAAGCCCUCCGACUUUCACUUUUCUUUUGUCUUCCUUAUCUUUUUCUUUACCUGGCUGGUGGGAAGUGCUAUGGUGUCCGCCUCUUCGCCCGGGGCAGCUGUGCUGUUGAGGAGUGCGACGGUCUGUGCGCGCGAGCGCCCCCGGAAGCCUCGGGACGGAGGAGCCGCGGACCCCGCCGCGCUGUUGCCAGGUUCCAACAGUCCUCUGGAGCCAGAGGCAGGGCGUGCUCCCGGGGGAGGGCGGAGAGAGCGACGUGUUACGGCCAUUGCUUUCCAGUUCUCCUUGGGGACUUGUGUCGUGGUUUCAGUGGCACCGGUGUCGGACAUUCGGGAAAGGGGAGACAUUUCUCCCUUCCCGGACAUUCCGCGUAGUCGGUGUCGAUGCUUCAAGGAAGGGGUGCCUUGACCUCCCGGAAGGGCGCGCUUCUUACCCGUUGCCCUUCUACGCGGUUUCCUUCUUCUUCCUUUCCUGCCUUUGUUGCAGAUAGCGACGGAGCUGCGAGUACGUGGCAGCUCACCUUCGAUGUUUACUUUAUUGCUUUCCAACAUUUGUGUAGCAGCUUUAAAGGCAUUCGGAACGGGGAGGGCAAAAUUACAGAUCCAUGGACAUCUCUGUUAUUUUUGUGUUUGAAGAAAUGAUCAUAUUCGGAGAUUAGGCUGAAGUUUAUUGCAAGUGCGAUUUGGGAGCCCGACGGGGUGGUGUGGGGAAGGGGGAAGAUGGCUUCCUUUCCAGAGACUAGCUGCCCCAGAGGGGAUUCGCUCAACUCUAGCCCUGGGAGUUUAUGGACCCCUGGACCAGGAGAGGAGAGGGGACCGGGACAAGAACGCAGCCAGAGGGACUUCCAGCAAUAUGGCAGUCGACUUUGGAGAGGAAUGCCUGGUGGGAAUGGCAGGAAGUGAGCCACCUGGAAAAGACAAAAAAUCCCCAGGAACCAGAAUCUGGAGACAAUGUGGAGGCUACCGCUCAAAGUAGAAGGUGUGCCAGGAGGUGCCCGAGAGCUAUCCAGCCCCCCACUGCCUCGACACAGCCCUCACCCCUCAGGAGGCUCUCAAGGCCGAAACGGGAACCACGACUCAGGAGAUAUCCCUGCUUCCUGCAGGAGCCGGCACCUCCAGGUUUGUGAGGACAGACAGCAUUUCUAAUGGUUAUCUGUUCUUGGGUGGCCAGGGGAAGGAAAUGCGCUUCAGAAUCCUGAGGAGGCUGUAGAAAGGGGUCCAGGGCUUCUUGGGGGAAAGCUUUUAUUUUUUAAAAAAAAUAAUAGAUGACACUAUUUAAAAAAAUUAUGGUAAAACACACAGAAUAUAAAAUGUGUCAUCUUAGCCCUUUUUAAUUGUACAGGUGAAUGCUGUUAAAUAUAUUCAUGCGUUGUGCAACCGUCACCACCAUCUAUGUCUAGAACUUUUUUAUCUUGCAAAACUCAAACUCUCUGUUCCCAUUAAACACAAACACCCUUUCCCCCUCCCCCAGCCACUGGCAACCCCCAUUCUACUCUCCAUCUCUGUGAAUUCUACUACUCCAAGGACCUCAUAUCCGCAUGAUUGUGCAGUAUUUGUCCUUUUGCAGCUGGCUUAGUUCACUGGCAUGAUGUCCUCAAAGUCUGUCCAUGUUGUAGCCUAUGUCAGAAUUCCCUUCCUUUUAAAGACUGAAUAAUGUUCACUGUGUGGAUACACCACAUUUUGUUUGUCUGCUCAGCUAUUGACUGACACUCGGGUUGUUGGGGAAGCAUUUUCAUUCCUGUGUUUUUCUCAGGUUUAAGGGACCAGGGAGCCAGGUAUGGGCAUCAGCGCGAGAUACUCUUGUGACUCUGCUGAGCUCAGCUGUGCCUGGACAGCACUGCCUUCGGGAAUAACACUCUUGUGUGUGUCAAGUCUGCUCAACUUCCACUCUCUCGUAACUGUGAGGCAAUGGCACUGUGGGUCUUUGCUGGUGGCGCUUGUUCCAGCGUGAGGUUACUUGGAUUUUGGACUGAAUGCUUGCGUCCCCCACCAAAUCCCUACGUGGAUGCGGGACCUACAGUGUGACUGUUUGGAGUUGGGGCCUGGGAAGGGAAGAUAAGGGUGCAGUGAGGCCAUGAUUCCAGGGCCUCCAUCCAGCAGGAUGGUGCCUACAGGCAGGGGAGAACUGAGUGGCCCUACACCCUUUGAGCAUGGUGAGGGGGCACAGCUCCCGGGAGGGCUGGUGGAGCCGGUGCUGCGGCACCUUUGUCUGGGGUUGCCAGCCUCUGCAAUGGGGAGGAAGCAAAUGCUGUCAUUUGGCACCCCGCUCUAUGGGUUCUGUUGUGGAGCCUGAACAGAUCAAGUGGAAGAUGGUUGGUAACCUACCACAGGAGGAACUUGGUGUGUCGGGGAGCUCUGAGGCUCCCCCAGGGAAAUUCUCUGCCCUGGCCAUCCCGCUUUUCUGCAUUGCUGAGAGCAUUCCCUUGUCAAAACCACAUUCACAAAGGCUUCUGUGCAAAUAAAUGGGCUGCCUCUGGAAUGUCUUCACGAUUAUAGAAAUACAAUCUCUUAGGGAGAAAUUUAUUGUUUUAAGUCUUGACAUCAGGCUAAUAGGUAAGAGUGGGACUCAGUUAAUUCAUUAGUGCCUGUAAGAGGAAAUUCUGAUUUCCUCCUGGGAUAUGCUGCAGAUUUGCAUUGUAGUAACCUUCCUAAUUAUUUUUUCCCAGAGAUUAACAGUGUAAUUAGCAUUUGUGUUUUCUAAGUUAAUUGGUGGAGGAGAAAGGCAGUCAGGUACAUCUUUAGGUUUGGGAAAAGUCAUCCUCACUUUUUAUCAGCUGGCAACAGAUAGAAUGGUAAACACCUUGGAUUCUGUCCAACCUUGGCUCCCUGGCAGCAGGCUCCCCACACCCAGGGAGGGGCCAGAAACCACUCCCUCCUCUGGAAUAGCAUUUCUCAGGAAGGCAGUUCAUAGGUGUUCAGAGAAAAAUGGACUCUGACACAAGUUUUGGAAAUGCUGGACUCCACAAAGUUAAAUCAACUUCUUUCCUGAAGCAGGAUUCUGCCUACCACUCACUCACUAGCUUGUUUACCACCCUCACUGGAUGCUUGCCAUGUGUCAGGCUUUGUAUUAGGCCCUUGGAAGACAGUACAAAGCAGGACAGGUGUGUUCUCUGCCCUCAGAGAGAGUAAAGUCUGGUGGAGCUCUUAAAAUGUUAAUUUCAAAGAGGGAGAUGACACGGGCAUGGUCCCCGAACAUACCGAACAAAGAGACCCUCCACAGAGAACAUUUCCUGGCACACAUGUUUUGUGGGACACACUUUAGAAAACACUGCUGUAUAGGGAGGAAGACCAAGGUAAGUGGACACACAUCAAGAGCACAGCAUGUUUCUACAUGAGCUACUGCCAGUUCGCACCACCACCCUGAGAGUCAGAAACAUUUUCAUUUUAUAGAGAAGAUGACCAGAAGUCAGACAGUUUAAAUGGGCAGCCCAAGGCCACAUGUCGAGGAGGAAGCAGGGCCAGGAUUGGAAUCCAACCUUGUUUGGGUCCAGCUCUGUAUUUGUUCCAUUUCCCUUUGCUGUCCUCUCCUGAGAAGUCUGUCCUGAGUCAAAGAGACCUGAGUUAUUGUCCUGGCCUUAGUCUUGACUAAGUCCCUCAAAUUCUUGAUUUUGAGUCUUUAAACAGUUAAAAGAGUAAACUUCCAUGCUUACCAUAUGUUGUAAGGAUCAGAUUAAGUAGCAUAUGUUCUGCUUCACAAAGCCCACAGUAUGUAAGGUGCUAUCUCCAUUCUAAGCAUCAAAUACUAUUUGCUGGGAUACAGCAGAAAAUUGAUGGUAUGGGCUUCAACUGGAUGCAACAUGUGGACAUUAGGUUCUGCCUCCUUGAGUGUAUUCCUGUAGCUCCCACACAGGUCAGUGUUUCUUUAAGAAUCCCUUUAGGAGGAGCCUUCUGUAAUACUGCCUCUGAAAUGACUUCAAUCCUCAUAACUAGGUUAAAGGAAUAUUUUUAGAGCAGUAACACCUGGAGGCUCGUUCAUCAUGGUCCCUGCCUCUGGGGAUCCCACCUACACACUGAAGAAUGAUGGCAAACAUAAUAUUUAUGCAAUAAACCUCUGAGAAAUGUGAAAGGAGCCCCUCUGUGUUGAAGGCAGAGAUUACUAACCUAUUUGUAAUGAUUUUCAGUGGGAUUCUGAUCAGGGAGAUUUGUGGCUUCACAAACACAGAGGGUUCUUACAUCACUCUUACCGGGAGAGCUGUUUUUUUCUGGAAUCCAAACUGACAAGGGGUACAUUAGUUAGUCUAAGGCAGGAUUACAGGCUCCAUAAAUUUUUAUCUUUAACUUGAUUGGAAUGCUUUAUUCUAUUACUGUGAUGGGUCCUUUUUCACCAUAAAUUCAUAAAACCUAUCCAGACAGCCUGAGAGCAAAUGCAUCAGUGGAGAUUUGGGUGAGAGGUAGACACAGGCCUGCAGGGGGCCAGGAGCCAAGCUAGAGGCAGGCGGCAGCCAAGGCUUGUUUCAGGGGAGCAGCUAAGGAAUUCUGAGGAGGAGGAGGGUCUUAGGACCUCUCUCUGGAGGAGUGGCACCUCCUGCCUUCUUUCAGACCUUGUAUGCACAAUAGCACAGAACCAUUCCCCACCCUCCCCGUCACCUCACAAAGGAAAUGGCAGGCCAGCUCACUGGAAACACUCCCAGCUGGGCUGCAGGGCAGGCAGAGUGCCGAGACCUCAGCGGUUCCCAAUAUUUUCACAGUCAGUCCCCUUCUCUCAAGUGCUCUUCAGACUUAGAUGUGGUAAAAUUGACCAUCAGGGCAUGGGCGGACCCCGUUAUUUGCUGGAGUGGCAGGGCUCAAGUCUAGGAGUUGUGUUAAAGCAAAUUCUUUGUUUCUUUUCACAGGGCCACUAGACUGGUAGGUCAAGGAAAUGCUGCCAUGUGGGGUAUUCAGCAGGGCAUUUGGCAUAGUUUCUCCUGAUAAUAUCCUUGUGUACAAAACAAAAGCAUGGGACUAGAGGUCAGAAUGAUGGCAGUUUCCUGACAGUCUCAGUGACUACACCCCGCUGGUCUAGGUGAGAGCCAGCAGCAACGUGGAGAGACAUUCUUGUGCUGAACCACAGGACUCAGCUCUGUCCUGCCCCAGCAUAAUCACACAUUUGAAAGACAAGUACAGAUCAAGAUCAGAAGGGACUCUGCAACACAGGUAGAAGGAAAGGCUAGAAAGAAAGGCAUGAGUAUAAAGUCUCUUCACUUGGGUUCAAAGAAUUUUCUUCUCCAGCAUUCCCAGGGUGCACUGUGUCUCAGCAGCAGUGUCAAGUGUGAAGAGGCCCUACCUAGGGCCUCUGGUAGAAGGUCGACUUCGUCUAUGGGCUCAGUCCAUCUUUGGUUUUUAAAAUACCUGUCUGAUUCAGCCUAGGGUAGGACGUUUCCUCCUGUCAUGAUGAACUGCCCCUCUCUUCUCUGGGCUAGUGUAACCACUUCUGGAGUGUUGGCAUUCAGUUUCGGGUGGUGCAUUUAAAACAAGGACAAAAUAUCACAGAGCACAGAGAUCAGCUUGCAAAAGGGCCUGACACCAUGCCUCAAAGGAGUGACUGAGAAACACUCGGCCACCUUUCACUCUAAAGGCCUGGCCUAGGGAAGCAAGGUCAAACUUGUGUGUAGCCUCCAAAGGCAGAAGCAGAAAAAUUUUUACUUUCAGAGAUGUCCAAAGGCAGGACAGGCUGCCUGGGAAGAGGGGAGAUGGCCAUCACCCUCCAGCACUCAGGCACAGGCUGGGUGCAUAUGUAGUGCACAGGCGUAAGGAGCUGCUUGGACUCGCAGUUCCUCCAGCUCUGGGGUCCUGCGAGCUGGUGCUAAGGAGUCAGGAAACCAGGGGUCUACCCCCAACUUUGCCACAAACUGCCCUAGCGACCUUAAGCAAGUUGCUUCAGUCCUCUGGAUCCCACUUUUCUCCUUUGCUAAAUUAGGAAGUUGGACAGGAGUACUUCCAAGGUUUCGCUUAGUCACUUAUUAUUCUGUUCCUGUUACCACCAGGGACUGAUGGUUCGGGAUCUCCUUCUCUCAAAGACACCAAGGAAAGGCUGUAGGAAAUCGUAUCUGGUUGCCAUCGUGGGAGGUACACCCGUUAUCUUGCUGUUUUCCCUGAACCUUGGCUCCUUCUUAUUUGGAUUUCCCUUGUCCUGUAUUUUGAGAUCCAUUUCAGCAGACCAGAAGAACAAUUGAAUUGGAAAUAACCUUCUACUAUGGUGGAAAGACUGUGGUUUCACAAGGCUUCUGGGGAGACUUAUGUCAACAGGAAACUAAGUGGAAAUAACUCUCAGGGUGUUUGGAGCAGAUGCCUACCUAGUUUGGGGGUUGAGGCUUUCUUUUCUCUUGCAGUUUUUCUUCCCUCUGGGGUCACUGGCCAUCAUUGAUGUGAAGGGGCAGUAGUUUUUACUCUGUCUUGUGGGUUAUUUCCACACGUGAGUCCAGCCUGUUCCUUAUGCUGGCUGCUCUCAUCCUCUGACAGGCAAGCUGGCUGUAACUAGACCUGACUUGUCAGUUCCAGCUUCCUUCUGAUGGCUCAGAAUUGAGACAGAAAUAUAAGUCUAGUAAAAGCAAUCUGUUCAAAUGUCCAAGUAAUUUAACACCCAGUGGGAGACAAAGAAUAAGCAUGAUUUGGAUUGAGAAAGAGCCCAUUAGGAUGGGCAAAGGGGAGGUGGUCUGCUUGUGCAUGUCUGUGUGUGUGAGCGUGUACAUGCAUGUGUGGUGUGUGUUGGGAGUGGUACUCCUGCAACAGUUUUAUGAAUGCGCAAAGCAUUGCUUCCAUUGGCUGUGUCCACCUGAAGACACCAGCCCAGGCCCGACCCUUCCAUGGGUGUGGCUUUGCUGGGAAGGGUGUGGUUCAGAAGGGGCUGAAGAUGCGCACUGCAGCCCUGCGCAUCCCGUCACGUGCAUGCGAGGCAGCUUAUGUCUCCGCCCCAGGCAGGCCAAACAGCUCAGAACCAACUUGCACAGGUGGCAGAGCAAGACUGCUGCCUCGACCAAUUGCAAAGCAAAGACAAAAGACUAUAAAAGCUGAUGAAACUGGUAACAGAACUGAAAGUUUUCUUGGUUUGGAAGUCAAAUAUCUGUCUUUUUGGAUGCUGACCUCAGGACCAAAUGCAGCCUUAUAAAUUUACAUUCUUUGCCUGCGAAACUGUCCUCCGUCCUGGUCCUCAAUGUUCCAUGAAAGCCAUCUUUCCAAAAUUGUUGUCCCAACAGAAGAGCCCUUCCGAGAUGAUAGCAGCGCUCAGCCCCUCUGGGCCCUGCCGAAGGCGACAAGAGGAAACAGGGAACUUCCCGCUCAGCACGGAACCCUGGCCGAGGGCUCGCGUAAUGGUAUCUCAACUGGUAGUGCUUUUUGUAUUCCAUGAUUCAUGCUCAGAAAUGGAUAAAAAUACCAUCCUUUCCCUAAGACAUGUGUAACUGGCACUCUUGUUAGGACCUGGACACGUGGGUUUCAUAGGAAGCUGAAGCGCUGCCGACGAGAGGCUGGAGCUGCUGCUUUGCUGCUUCCGCUGUCAUGGCCGAAUCCAUCUGGGGACUCUGUUUCGUCCAGUGCAGCAGCUGCUGGCUCAGGCUUGGCUUGGUCAGAAUUCUUUUGGACAUUUAUGAAGAGAACGUUAUUCACCAGCCCUGAAUCCCCAGAAAGAAUAAAAAAACAAUGGUGAAAUAUCAGAAAGGGCAUUCCUGGACACACUUUAAAUCUAGUCAUCAGUUAUCUGCAGCAUCAAAAUGUACAAAUAAAUAUCUUAACAGCUGAUCAGAGCCAGUCAGGCUCUCUCACGAACAUUACUUGGACACAGAAACAGCCUAACACAUUGCAAAGUUCGUGCAGGGUAGGCAGUGUCCAGCCCAGCUGGAAAAGCAUGCAUGAUUAGGACAGGGGAGCCUGUCAGAGUCAUGCAACCCAUGUGCCAUUCCUGUUCCCAGAGGAUAAAGAAAAAAUCAGAUUUUCUCACCAACUCUGUGAGAUCCUUGAAAUGCCUUUUGUUAGAAUUCAUCCUUGUAAAUUUGGCCUGUUUCAUAAGCAGAAUGGUGAUAGGGGCCAUGUAAACAAGUCAAAAGAUACUACACUGGGACAUUGAGAUUCCAUUACUUUCCCAACACAUAUCUUGACUAAUAAAACUUGCCUUCCUGGGUGGGUGUGAAGAUUAGGUCAGGUAAUAUAUGUUAGUAGGCUUUGUACAUUGCACGCACAACACCAGCUACCUUAAAGAGGAAAUUGGCCUUGGGAAAAAGGAGAAACAGCUGAGGAAGACGGCUGUCACCGAAGCACUGGCCAGCAUGUUCCAGGACAAGCACCACCUGCCAGGAUUCCCUAGAGGUCAAACUAUGUCCUUGCAGAUUUUGUUACUGAAAGGAGAAGGGGAACAUACCCCAGAAAGGGUGCUCGGAGAAAACUGUAGCACAGUUUUAGAAGUUGCAAGAAGAUGGGAGUGUUGCAGCUCUCAAAAAGGCAGUGCUGACAUAGAAGAUUCUUUGGGUAGAAAGAUGCCAUCCUGGAGGAGGGAGUUCAUCAGGGACUCAAAGGCUUCCCUUGCUCAUUGAACAAAUAUUCCCUGAGCACCUAUUAUGUGCCAGUCACCUCUCCAGUCUAGUCAUGAGAAGCCAACUUAGAAACAAUCCCACUGUCUUUGCUCUGACUGAUUCAGCAGGCUGUCCACUGAACAGUAGUUUAGUUUCCAUCAGGGCUUGGGCUCCUGGAGGCUAAUUCCUGGCAGCAUCCCUCUGGGCUUUGGGAAAGCACCAGACAAGUGAAUGGAUAGGUAAGCAGUGACACCUCCUACACUGACUCUCCCGGGCCCUUCAAAGCACCUGCCUGUAAUGUACGUGGCAGGUGCCACUCAGGCGACUAUGAAAUAAGUGUAUUAACGUGCUCGGGCUGCUGUAAAAAAGUACAAGGGCUUAAACAACAGAAGACAGUUUAUCACAGAUGGAAUCUGAGAACAAGCUGUUGGCAGGGUUGGUCCCUCUGAGGCCCCACUCCUUGGCAUGUAGAUGCCACCUUCUCCCUGUGUCCUCAAGUGGUCGUCUCUCUAUGUGUGUCUGUGUCCUGAUCUCUUCUUAUAAGAACACCAGUCACAUUGAAUUAGGGUCCAUCCUAAAACCUCAUUUUAAAGAAUAAUCACCUUUUUAAAGACCCCCAUCUCUAAAUAACACAAUUGGAGAAAGUAGGGGUUAAGACUUCAGUGCAUGAAUUUGAGGGGUGGGCACAAUUCAGCUUACCAUAAUAAGUAAAAAUUCCAGCCAUAAAAUUGUUAUUUUGCCUGUCACACUGCUUGUUGACUCAGCUAAUCUUCGAGGCCUCCCUUGCCCAGCCCCAUCUCCCUGUCCUCAGCUUACCUGUGCCAAUUUGAUUGCUGAUUCUGGCACUGGGUGGGGCCUAAACCGAGAGAGACACACUUCAUGGGACAAAGGGUCAUACUGUGAACCCAGGAGGGACCUACCCUGACAAAGGGGUCUAGAUGAGGUGGAGGAGUGCGACACAGAUUGUGUCUGAUGAGCAGAGAGCCGGGCCAUUCUGCGGGCCAGCAGAAACCCCUUCAGGAAAGGACUAGUAUAUGUGUUGUCUGCACCUCCCAUAACCUGGGAGAACUUUGCAUCUGCCUUUGGGCACCUGCUGCAGGGUAGUUUCUUCUACAAGCCUAAAACAUUUGUUGAAAAAGCUGUCAGGAUAUUAAGAUGAACAAGAUGUUUUCUAGCAGGGAGGGAUCUUGAAGGGAAGGAAAAAGCUGCCAGGCCCCCAUAUGUACAGGGAAGGUUUCAGGGCCCUGUAGCAUGUGACCUCCUCAGAAGUUUGCAGAAGCUAGAAAACGCAAUGUUUGUUGAGAUUAUUAAAAAUGUGGUUUGUAAAAAAUGUGGUUGAAGGAACAAGGGAAUAGCAUAUAUAUUUGUACCUCAGUCAGACAUACUCUUACACAGUGAAGCUUUAAAUAAACGGCAAGCAAAAAGUAAACUGACACUAAUAAAAAGUGCAAAAGACAGUAGCUUCAUGCUCCUGUGGGUAGCCUUGGAGAUCUAGUUGGUUUGCCUUUCUUACAGAGUAGAAAGCUCAAGUCCAGACAGUUCAAGCCAAAGCUGCACAUGGAGUUGGUGGGAGAAAUGAAAACAGGGUCUCUUCACUCCUAGUCCAAUACUAUUUCUAAAACCCUCAUUUGUCCUAAUUUUAUCAUUUGGGAGAAUUUUAUUCUUCAUACCAUGCUGUCUCUAGGAAGCUGGGUUUUCUAAUUCUCUUGGGUUUAUACUGUACUUCUCACUUCAGAAUUAGGCAGUCUCAGAAAUCUCAAUUACUCAUUCAAAGACUAGGUUAAUUUCUAGUAGAAUAAUGCUUUAGUCUAUUCUAAAUAUGUUAAUUUGAACAGUUCCUAUUUUUUCUACUGAGUGUUUUCUUUACGUCCUUCUUCAAUUCUUCUUCCACGAAUACAAACAAUAUAGAGGAUUUUUACUCUGCACUGUGUGAGCAUUCUAGAGAAUAUGGAUUGAAAGUCUAGGAUCAACUUCACAAAUUAAAAUUUUUGAAGUGAUGUUCUUUCUUCUUUAUUUUCCUUUCCUACUGACAUACUUGAUGACUUUGUCCAAAACUAACUAGCCUCACUGGUACGAUUUUUAUUUAAGGUUCUUAUAUUCAGUUUUCCCUUAACAUAUUUCAUUUCUAAAAUAAGAAAGGAAACAGAAAAAAAUUUUACCUUAAUCUUACUGCUCUCAUACAAAUUUGCAGUUCUUUUAAAAACAGUGAAAGAAACCUCGCCCCAAACAAAAAAACUCUAAGACCCUCUGCAAUAUUGACAACCAAAGAAAAGAAAAAUCUUCACAUCUCAAAAUAAAAGUACAGGAACAGAUUCUUUAAGAAGCCAGAAUUUCCAGUUUUUGCACAGGAUUUCCCACAUGCAAUGGACUCUACCUCUGUACACUAAAUAAAUAGCAAAUGAUAAAGAAUAAAACAGUUCCUUUUUCCUUGUUGAGCUACCAAGCAGCACAGAAGAAAGCAUUUUUUGUUUAGAAAAAACAUGAAAGAAAGUAAUGAUAUAUAGACAGAGAUGUUAACACUAAAGUGAAGGCUUCUUGAUUCUCACACCAGCUCUGGGUGCCAGGCUUCUCCAGGCCUCUGUUUGCCAGGUCAAGGCCAGAGGACCUGGAGUCCACAUGGGAACAGUUCGGCCAGUAGUAAGGUUCUGCUACAGCCAGGGAAAGAGAGCUGGAGGUUCAGCAGCAUUACAGGCAGCUGGAAACCCUGGCAAUGUCAUAACAACGCACCAUAUAAUCAAGCCAUUGGUAUGAUCUCAAAUGAAGGGCAUUUUGCUAUUGUUUUGACCUUCCUCAGCCAUAUUGCUGUCAGCCUGACGGAAGUUGUGCUAAAGCUGAAAUCCACAUAAACAUUCACUUCUUACACUCAGCUCACCUUUCCCUGUAAAGAGCCAGGAGCUUAGCAAACUGCCCUUGAUCACUUUGGGUCAAGAGAAGGAGCACUGGCUUUCCCAACAGCAUCAGGAGGUGGUGCCCAGCCCCAGCCAUUGUGAGAGCACAGAUGUGCUGCGAGGAAGGCUUUUUCUGGCAGUGGAGACCAUGGGAGAAUUCCAAAGGCCCUUAUG